GAGACAGGAUUUUGCUGUGGAACCGUGUCUAGUUGGAACUCACAGAGAUUUACAUGCCUCUGCUCCCAAACGCUGGGAUUAAAGGAAGCUGCAUUCGGAGCCCUUGGUGGAUGGAUGAAGGCCUCUGCACUUUUUGGGACUUGCUUGUCUCUGGCUGUUGAGCCCCUUUCAGGGCAGUUCCCCUCCCUCAUGUUAUGAACAUCUGUUGUCUCCUGCUAAGGCAGAAGCCGGGAUUGGAGCGAGAGCUAUCAAGGAGGCUCUAACACAGACCAGGAGACUCUUCUUAGCCCUGAGGGUUGGGCUGCUGUGGGUCUGGGGGACACUGGGAAGUGAGGUGCACCAUGUGUCAGGAACCUUAGC